GUACUCAUUUCAGCAGCACAUAUACUAAAAUUGGAACAAUACAGAGAAGAUUAGCAUGGCCUCUGCACGUGGAUGACAUGCAAAUUUGUGAAGUGUUCCAUAUUUUU
rnacentral:snRNA from 1 species